UCUUGAUUGGUCUAGUGGUAAGGAUACCUGCUUGUCAAUUUCUGUCUCCUGAUUCAUUGAAAAUAAUAAGUGAUGAAAAGCGAGGAAAUACAGCAAACCGCAGGUGGCCGGGGUUCGAUUCCCCGAUCGAGAG